rnacentral:tRNA from 1 species
GUCAGGAUGGCCGAGCGGUUCAUAGCCGCGCCGCGUUCAGGUCGCAGUCUCCCCUGGAGGCGGGGUUCAAAUCCCAUUUCUGACA